CAAUAGCGUAUAUUUAAGUUGUUGCAGUUAAAAAGCUCGUAGUUGGAUUUCGGAUGGGACUUGCCGGUCCGUCGUUUCGAUGUGCACUGGCCAGUCCUAUCUUGUUGUCGGGGACUAGCUCCUGGGCUUCACUGUCCGGGACUAGGAGCUGACGAGGUUACUUUGAGUAAAUUAGAGUGUUCAAAGCAAGCCUACGCUCUGAAUACAUUAGCAUGGAAUAGCACGAUAGGACUCUGGCUUAUCUUGUUGGUCUGUGAGACCAGAGUAAUGAUUAAGAGGGACAGUCGGGGGCAUUCGUAUUUCAUUGUCAGAGGUGAAAUUCUUGGAUUUAUGAAAGACGAACUUCUGCGAAAGCAUUUGUCAAGGAUGUUUUCAUUGA
rnacentral:rRNA from 1 species